UGUAAACUGUUAAAAGACAAAAAACAAAACU
rnacentral:piRNA from 1 species